ensembl:lncRNA
CAUUAAGAAGAUACAUACUUGAUUUAGCAUCCCUUCCUUAAAAUGAAUUGGACUUUGAACGAAACUAAAUCAACGAUCAUGUUCUGAGCCUGGAGUACUGGACAUCCCCAAGCAAAUGGCAACAGUGACGUAAAAGUUAGAGCUGAAGUCACUGCAGAUCUAGCUCUAGUCAGUCCUGAUGGACCCAUGCCCCGAUGACCUGCUAAGCGGAGUUUGCAGCCCUGGAUCUGGGGUGCAAUAUGGCUGUGGGACUUGAAGAUCAUUUGCUGCCUGUCACCUAAUAAGAACUUACUGGACCCUGACCUUGACCUGAACCAGGCCUGAAUUCAGCCUGAGUUUCCCCAUCACUCUGGGUCUUCAGCAGGGAACCAGCUGCCACUGCCUCCCCGCUGGGCUGUAUUCCCAAAGGCUCAGCCUGCUGAUCCCCACUCAUUAAAGUGCAUGAUUUUUAAAUCACAGAUAAAUAGCUACUGUCACAGAAAAGCAUUCAGUCUGCUUCUGUAUUUUUCCAGAGGCAAAACUGAAGUUGAAUUAAGGGAAAGGAGUAUUAUACUCAAGUCAGAUCAGUGGAUGCUUCUCUUGAAAACAGGACCCAAAUGUCCAUAUUAGGUCAGUGAUGGGGGAGAGCAAAGGAGAGGAGAUUUUUUAUUGGAAAUGUGCUGCUUUGUAGUGAAGACAGUUUUGCGAGGAUGUCUGUGAAAGUCUUGCUUUAGCAAUAAGAGUCCAAAUGAAUGUUUUAGGAAGUGGCUAAGAAAAAUCUCAGAUGUGACUGAUAUCCUGUUGUAAUUUGGUUGACAGAUAAUCUUGUCUUUACAGCAUUUUCUUUUUCUAAAACAGAAUUUGGCAUUUUUCCUCUUGUAAAAACAGAUACGUCAAAUUAAAGAAAGACAAAUUGUAUUGUCUUGUAAAGUUUUUACAUUUGAGAUGAGAGAAUCAGAUGGAAGUAUAUUACGGUGAAAAAAAAAAAGCUAUACAAGUUUAAAAUAUAUUGUUCUGCUGAUACGUGUCAUUGUAAUACAGCUCCAGAACUGAUUCUAUCCUGGGUAUAAUUUUAUCCUUCUCUACUUCCUCCAUCCUUAAAAAAAAAACCCAAAACUAAAUAAAGAAUUGGUCCAUAGUUUAA